AUUAUUUUCCGGUGAUUUCUUGUGUGUUCCCUUGAUUUUAUUUCUACUUGUUGCUGUAGAAGCUUUGAUGGUGGUGGAAGCCUUGGAAAGUUACCCUGUCGCAGGUCCCUAAGCAUUGGGCUGAGUAGGGCACCGGGACCCCUUUCUGUCUCCAAGCAGGGCCAACAGCCUUAAGGAGGGGGGUGCUCCUUGGGGAGCUUCUGCCUUCGGCUCAGGGCGUGACCCCGGGGGCCCUGGGAUCCAGCCCCGCCUCGGGCUCUCCGCAGAGAGCCUGCUUCUCCCCCUGCCUGUGUCUCUGCCUCUCUCUCUGGGUCUCUCAUGAAUAAAUGUGUAAAAUCUUGAAAGAAAGAAAGAAAAAGAAAGAAAGAGAGAGAGAGAGAGAGAAAGAGGGAAAGAAAGGAAAGAAAAGAAAAAGAAAGAAAAAGAAAGAAAGAGAAGAAAGAAAAGAAAGAGAAAGAAAGAAAGAAAGAAAGAAAGAAAGAAAGAAAGAAAGAAAGAAAGAAAGAAAGAAAGAAAGAAAAGGAUCAGACAGUUGCCCUGCUACACUCAUUGUUAUGCACACAAGGUGAGAGGGAGGCGACACCAUUAGAACCAGAAACAUUAAAGAUAAGCAGACAAGAGCCCAAAGCACCGAACGCAAAUGGAAAUAGAAAUAAAUGUGCAUGUGAUACAGCAUUCUCUAACAAGAAGUCUAUGAAGACUCAGGCAAAGCUGGCAUUUGCUGUAGGAGAAAGAAGUGAAACGUUUACCUCCAUCUGCCUUUGGAACGUAAUUGGAAAUGCCAUCAAACACAAACUACUGAGCUACGUAUUUCACCUGCCGUCUGUAUCAAUCCAAGUUGUCAAGUGUGGUCAUAAACUACGUGCCAGCACAGACUGGUUCAGGCCAGUGAACGGCUCCAUCAGCUCUGUCAAUAGCUUCUUCUCAGUUAAGGUGAUGGACCUGUGUAGUAUAAAAUGUAAUAAAUGUAGUAUAAAAUGA
rnacentral:lncRNA from 12 species